ACUACUUGCUGAAAGUGACCGUUGAGCUCCCAACCAACAAAAGUGAAGCAUUGGACGGAAUUUGGCGUCUGUACCGCGGGAGCCCAAUUUCCAACCACAGAAAUAAUGAGACUCAAUCCUCAAUUCCAACAAUAAGGGAGUCUAGUGAUGAGCUGUUAUAUAGGCCUAGCUUAACAGCUCCGCAGGCGCUGGGUCCCCGUAGUUUUCCUACCAAACAAAGACCUCUAGGGUUUGAGCAGGAUCCCCCAGAGGCACAAUACGACUCACAAAAUAACCAGCAGAGCAUGUAGACAAGGAGUACACUUAGAAUUGCAUCAAGAACCCUAGUUAUGAUGCUGCAAUCCUCUCCACUAUCGAAUAUGCUUUGCCUUCUUCACACCUGGAUUCCGCGUCGACAGUGAAACCUCCCCUCUUGCCAGAACUGGGAAGAUCACCAUCCCCACCCAGGUGUGUGCCUUCCAGCACAAUUACCUCCAUCGCAGAAAACUAGACUGGCCAUCUUGGUUAAGCCGACAAAGAGAACCGAAGAUUCCGCAUUUUACAGGCAAGGCUGGAAAAAUAUACAGCAGCAUAGGAAAAGUCAUACUAGCCGGUCAACGGCCGUAGAGAAUCUUCUCGGAGGCCUUUUCUGGAAACCUACAAACUACAACUUCAGAGGGCCCAUGACCACAUCUUCUGAUAGUUUUUCUCACACAAGCAGUUACGCGAGUAAUUCCUUGUGCGCCAAGAAGCCUGGACCAACAAUCCCACUCAUUUGACAAGGGAGUCUGCAUUCACCAAGGGACAGGCAUCGGUUACUGCUGAGCAUCCUUCUCAAAACAACAGGAGCACAUGAGAAGUUUUACCGACCACGUACUGGUGGACAUGAAACAAUAGAUGCAUCUACUGCUCUUCCGAGUAUCAGAAGCUGGAGUCUCUAUUUGGGAAUAUGGAUGCGUGUGUGGAGCACCUGCGGACCCAACAGCGGGGUUAAAAUUCGGAGACAUAGGGUUGUGCAAGAGCAAGAGUGAUUGAAUUGGAUAAAGCAUUUGCCUAGGAAGUUAGCACAUGACUGAGAGAAGUUUGAUGAUGUUAAAAUCCCGCCUAUUCUGAUGAGGAUUUGGGGUGGAAGUUUUGAGGGAAUGAAGCUGGCUUUGAAGGUAUGGUGAUGCCCAUACCUUGAAUCUGAUAACGUCCGCCGAAGUGUUUCUAUGGAAGGCCAUAUUUACAUAGGCUUUCUCUUUUCCUUCCUUCAUGACUAUGUUAAUUUUUUACCAAGGCAGAUCUAAUCAAUAUAUAUAUAUAUAUAACUAACUAAAGGUUAUCCAGGGGCGCGUUAGCGGCGUUAUAACAUGACCCCCCCAGAUAACUUAGUUAUCCUGGAUGCCACCCCAGCCAAACCCUUAUCCAGGGGGGUUCUGCUUGGUAUGUUAUCUUGACAGUUAUUAAAGCUCUGUACAAGACGAUUGACUGAAGAAAAAAGAUUGAUUAAUAUAGAUCUGACUACCUAGCUUACUAUCUUUUUUUCUUCUAUUUAUAUAAUCUACUUAACUUCAUUAUAUAAGCUACUAG
rnacentral:sRNA from 1 species